GACGAACGCUGGCGGCGUGCUUAGCACAUGCAAGUCGAACGGAAAGGCCCUGCUUUUGUGGGGUGCUCGAGUGGCGAACGGGUGAGUAACACGUGAGUAACCUGCCCUUGACUUUGGGAUAACUUCAGGAAACUGGGGCUAAUACCGGAUAGGAGCUCAUGCUGCAUGGUGGGGGUUGGAAAGUUUCGGCGGUUGGGGAUGGACUCGCGGCUUAUCAGCUUGUUGGUGGGGUAGUGGCUUACCAAGGCUUUGACGGGUAGCCGGCCUGAGAGGGUGACCGGCCACAUUGGGACUGAGAUACGGCCCAGACUCCUACGGGAGGCAGCAGUGGGGAAUAUUGCACAAUGGGCGGAAGCCUGAUGCAGCAACGCCGCGUGCGGGAUGACGGCCUUCGGGUUGUAAACCGCUUUCGCCUGUGACGAAGCGUGAGUGACGGUAAUGGGUAAAGAAGCACCGGCUAACUACGUG
rnacentral:rRNA from 1 species